GACGAACGCUGGCGGCGUGCUUAACACAUGCAAGUCGAACGGAGUGGCGAACGGGUGAGUAACACGUGGGUGACCUGCCCUGCACUUCGGGAUAAGCCUGGGAAACUGGGUCUAAUACCGGAUAGUGUGGGAUGGGCCCGCGGCCUAUCAGAUUGUUGGUGGGGUAAUGGCCUACCAAGGCGGCGACGGGUAGCCGGACUGGGAGGGUGGACGGCCACAUUGGGCCUGAGACACGGGCCAGGCGGCAACGGGGGGCAGCAGGGGGGAGUAUGGCGCAAUGGGCUGAAGCCUGAUGCAGCGGCGCCGCGUGGGGGAUGACGGCCUUCGGGUGGUAAACUCCUUUCACCAUCGACGCGGUAGAUGGAGAAGAAGCACCGGCUAACUACGUGCCAGCAGCCGCGGUAAUAC
rnacentral:rRNA from 1 species